rnacentral:rRNA from 1 species
GAUGAACGCUGGCGGCGUGCCUAAUACAUGCAAGUCGAGCGAACAGACGAGGAGCUUGCUCCUCUGACGUUAGCGGCGGACGGGCGAGUAACACGUGGAUAACCUACCUAUAAGACUGGGAUAACUUCGGGAAACCGGAGCUAAUACCGGAUAAUAUAUUGAACCGCAUGGUUCAAUAGUGAAAGACGGUUUUGCUGUCACUUAGAGAUGGAUCCGCGCCGCAUUAGCUAGUUGGUAAGGUAACGGCUUACCAAGGCAACGAUGCGUAGCCGACCUGAGAGGGUGAUCGGCCACACUGGAACUGAGACACGGUCCAGACUCCUACGGGAGGCAGCAGUAGGGAAUCUUGCGCAAUGGGCGCAAGCCUGACGCAGCAACGCCGCGUGGGUGAAGAAGGCCUUCGGGUCGUAAAGCUCUGUUGUUAGGGAAGAACAACUGUGUGUGAAGCUAUGGACGUCUUGACGGUACCUAAUGAAAAAGCAACGGCUAACUACGUG